rnacentral:ribozyme from 1 species
UGUCUGUCCCGAACUACAUCAGGGUAUGCAACAGGACCUUCCUUCACGGAAGGUCCUGUUGACUGUUCGGGGAAGACAACCAGGGAAACACACCGGCAAGCCGGUGGCACAUUAACUGGU